rnacentral:lncRNA from 1 species
CCACCAUAUACUGCUAGGUGUCACUGAUGGAUUUUGAAAGCAAUUAGAAUGAUUUUGAUGAUCGAUCAUUCUAAUUGUCUGAAUCAGAAGAGUUCUGAUCCAUCGAAAAGAGUUUUGAUGAUGUCGAUGAUGAGAUCACGACAUGUCUCAUUACCAUACAGAAUUAAACCUAAUUGGGUCACACAAAUAAGGGUUAGGGUCUGGAUGUCAUCAAUUGGGCUAGCCCAAUUGAUUUGGAUAAGAUCCAAUUAGGUUCAAAGAAAUCAUGCUAGC